rnacentral:rRNA from 1 species
UACGUAGGUGGCAAGCGUUGUCCGGAUUUAUUGGGUUUAAAGGGUGCGUAGGCGGCCCCGUAAGUCAGUGCUGAAAUAUCCCGGCUUAACCGGGAGGGUGGCAUUGAUACUGCAGGGCUUGAGUAAAGUUGAGGUAGGCGGAAUUGACGGUGUAGCGGUGAAAUGCUUAGAUAUCGUCAAGAACACCGAUAGUGUAGACAGCUUACUAAGCUUAACUUGACGCUUGAGGCACGAAAAGUGUGGGGAGUCAAA